rnacentral:lncRNA from 1 species
UAUCUUCGAUUGAAAAGGGAAUAUGAGUGAAAAUAAACUUUUUAAACUCACGACACACAUUAUCUUUCUUUAUUAUUUUAAUUUAAAGAAAAACAUUUAAUUAAAUUAGUCUUGUGAUUAUUGAAAAAAAUUAUAAUAUGUAUUUUUUCCAAGACUUGAUGUACUUCUUUUUUUAUUGGAGACCUCUUUAGUUGGUGCAGAACCAUUUCUUUUCUAAAUAUUUGAUGAAUGGUUAAUCCUGACAUUACAUGUUUUCCCUUGGACCGGGUGAAUGAUAACUUGGGACUUGGAAUCUAAACUCUCACGGAAACUCCAAAUAAUUAGUAGUUGGAGAGUGUUUUUCAAGGUAAAAAACUUACAUCCCUGAGACUGGCCUCAUGUGAAAUCACAGAUAACCGGCUUAAAGUGUCCAAAGAAAACAGUAAAUUUUACGAGGGACAUCUUCAAAGUUGGCUAUAUGCCAGAGUUCAUCAGCACUGGUCUAGUAACUUUGAUCCUUCAAAGAAUAAAGAUAGAGAAGAUAAUAUAAACUAUCGCCUUAUAUCACUAGUAAAUACCUCUUAUAAGAUACUUACUGGUAUAUUAAACUAAAUUAUUACUAAUGUGCUUCCAAACAUCAUAGCCACGGAGCAGAAAUGUUUUAUGAAUUCCAGGUUCCUGGGAGAUAUUCUGCACUCUACCAUAGCACAAUGUUUAUCCAAAAAAAAUUUUUUUGUAGAUUUCGUUGACUUUGAAAUGGCUUUUGAUACACUAUUUCACAAAUUUAUGAUAAAGCAAUUACUUAAAAUUAGAUUUCAGACACAUUCGUGGAGAUGACAUCUGAAGUUCUCCAUGGCUCUAUAUUGAAAAUGGACAUAACAGGGCAGAACUCUAAAUUUUGGAUCCAAUAAGGAGUAAGAUAAGGAGAGAUUCCUUCCCAACCCCGUUUAUUAUUACUAUCAACCAAUUUUAUGAGGACUUCACAGCUGAUAUAAAUAUCAAAGGUUUCAUGACUAGUAAUAAACACAAGAAAAACAAAAUUAUAUCAAAUUACGAGGAUUACUAAAGGGAGUAGUUUUCUGGGAAUAGAGGUGUCCUGCAAUCCCCUUGAAUCUGAAAAAAAAAAAUAAUAUAGAAAAAGUAAUGAAUACGUUGGAGCUAAGUACGAAAAAAUAUGAAGUGUUCCCCCCCCCUUCCACCUCUAUCUAAGACAGGGAUUUAGGGUAAUUGAACAUUAAAAAACAUACAGUUAACUCUUAAUUUUUAUAGACUAAAAAUACUUCUUACAAGCAGAGAUUUCUUUCCCGCUAGGAUAAAAAUCAAAUUUUCUAUUAAUAUAGUUUAUCAAUUCAACGAAAGAAUAUUUGUGGGGCUUCUUCGAGUCCUCCCCGCCGGUAUGAAGUCUUUUAAGCCUACUUCCCCCUGUCAGAAGAAUUGACUAGCUGAAGUUUCGUCCCCCUACUUGGCAAAAUCAUAUUUAUUCCUUAGUCUUAAGUUGAGAUUUAAUGGUUAAUUUGUGCCAAGGAGGAGAAACACAGGAUUGAAAAUACCGGCCCAUGAUGAUCUUAUGUCUCGCCUAUACGGUCCCCAUUGUUUGAUCACUGAAAAGAGUUCCGUUGGUUUCAUAAAUAUUUUAAACAAUAAGUUUUAUUCUGUAACUUCUAAGAGUUUUCUGUAAUUGUUUUAGGCCAUAAAUGUUCACAGUUGAGGAGUCUUUUGAUCCAGGAUAAGUUUAAUGUUUACCACUUAGACUUUAUCUGUAGAGAUCCAAGUUAACAACCGUUUGUAGGAGUUUGCACUGAAAAUCCUCGAAAGCUUCCACACUAGAUCAUUCCUAAUCUUAUUAUACUCCACCACAGAGUUUGGCCAAGAAUGGAACGUACCUCAUUGGAUAAAAUACUUUUUCAAGGACAUUAAUGUUUCAUCCUAAAAGUGAUUCGUAUCGAGAGAGGGGUGUCAUCCUAUAAAUCAUAUAUUUCUUUGGAGCAUAUUCUUUAUUUACUUUUCGUUCCAGGUUCAAGAUUGAUCAAAACAACUUCAAUUCCAAGUAAAAAGCUCGAAGAAUGAAAGUAAAGUUACUAAGGGAAGCAAUGCCUUAAAAUUUCUUUUUACUUACGAGAUAAUGUGUCAAACGAUUUUUCGAAAUCGACCACAAGUACUGUGUUUCUUGCUUCAGUGCACACAAUAAUCCAUUGCGUCCUGAAGCAACAGAGGAAUUUCCUUCAGAAUCUUAGACUUCAUGAAACCUUUCUAUGUAGGGGAUAUGAUAUGAGGUAGGAUCCUAACUACUCUCUGAUUAAGUAUGCCCGUAAGAACAGAUGUGUUAAGUAAAGAAAUUAGAAGAUAAUUUUUAAUAUCAUCCCUACUAAGGUCUAUUAAUAGGAACCCUGUUAUAGGGGAAAAGUCACAUCCACCCUUCCUUAUAUAUAUAUUAUUUAUUUAAUCGUCAUUCGUUGCAAGUCAAUAUCAAUGGUAUACAUUAAUAAAGAAAGUAUUACAAAUAAAAUAAUAAUUAUUAUGAACAAUAAAAUCUUUUAAGAUAGUUGAGGUAAAUAGAAACUACAUUAGAAAUAAUAAAAGAGUAUACCAUGAGCAUUGUACAUAGAUGCAUUUAAUAAAUUCGGGGCUGUGUUGAAUUAUAAAAUUGUUCCGAUGGAUUAAUUUUUACAUUAAACUGAUAUUAUUGAUAUAUGUGAGUAGGUGUUAUGGAACGGAAAAAAAGUCCAACAUCAACAUUAACAAUACUUUCCUUGACCCUUUGUCGUCGAACCUCCUCAUUAAAGUAAUACUCCGCUAAAUAAAACUUUCAAAGCCGAUAUGAAGGCCUCCCCCUUCACAUUGAACAGUGUAAACUAUGUUCAAAACACGUUUAAUUAAAAAGUCAAUUUUAAACUGCUCUGUAUGUUGACUGGAGGUUGGUAAUUACUCUGAGGAUGUUGUACCAUCAUAGAAGAGAUGCCGGCUCGUUUCUUACAAAAAAAAAUUCAAAAAAUCUGCUUAUUGGUUCGAUUUGUUCGUGAAAAAGCUCAAAGUCUCCAUCCUAUAGCGAAACAAAUUUUGUUUGAAAUUUAAAAAAGGGUUCCGCAUGAUCAUCCGUGGAUUAUGGUAUAUUUAAGUAUUCUCGAAGGCAUAAUUUUUUUGAUUUGGCGUCCAUCACCUCCCAAACCAAAUCCCAUAUUUGUUUUCCAGGAACAAACUAAUUUUGAGAAUUGUUGAUAAUUGAUAGUAAAGUUAUCAGCAAUCUUCUGCCAUAAAUUCAACUAAAUAUCUUGUAAGAAGUGUCCAGCAGGGUCAGAAUCAUAAGAUUUUCAUCGCUUGGACCUGUGAUAGUGAUUAUUUUUCUCAUGAAUCUUUUUACCAUGGUCUAUAGUGGACUGGUAUAUUUUUUAAAUUUAUUUUUGAAUAUUUAUUUGAAAAUCUCUCUUUUAAUGUCGUUUUAAAUAUAUUAUCUUGUUUUUUUAA